CAGGUGAGACUUCCUAUCGCUCUUUCGGGAGAGGAAAGUCCGGACAGCACAGAGCACUUCCCUGUGGAAAGCACAGACAGAUGAAAGUUUGUGGAGCGCGUAACAGAAAACAACCGCCCGCAUGGGUAAGGGUGAAAAUGUGAGGUAAGAGCUCACAACCGUUAAUGGCGACACUAACGGGGUACGCACCGGAAGGCUGCAAGACCAAAUAUACCGGCAAUUAAGGGUUGCUCGCCCGCUGCCGGGGGGUAGGUCGCGUUAGAUAAAUGAUAGGAGCCUUUUACGAUAAUAGGGCACAGAAUCCGGCUUAUGUCUCACCUUUUUU
rnacentral:RNase_P_RNA from 1 species